UAAAAGCAUUAGGGAUAGAAGCGGCAUCCUUUUUAUUUUGUCACAUCGAGCGAAAGCGAGAAAUGACAAAAUAAAAAGAUAUAGCGAAUAGCCCGACCUGCA
rnacentral:sRNA from 2 species